ACAUCCAAGGAAGGCAGCAGGCGCGUAAAUUACCCAAUCCUGACACAGGGAGGUAGUGACAAUAAAUAACAAUGCCGGGCCUUUGUAGGUCUGGCAAUUGGAAUGAGAACAAUUUAAACCCCUUAUCGAGUAUCAAUUGGAGGGCAAGUCUGGUGCCAGCAGCCGCGGUAAAUCCAGCUCCAAUAGCGUAUAUUAAAGUUGUUGCAGUUAAAAAGCUCGUAGUUGGAUUUGUGGCUGUCUCGAGCGGCCUAGCACCUAGUGUUAGUGCCUGCUUGGGUCGCCAUCCUUGGGUGGAGCCUGUGUGGCAUUAGGUUGUCGUGCAGGGGAUGCCCAUCGUUUACUGUGAGAAAAUUAGAGUGUUCAAAGCAGGCUUAUGCCGUUGAAUAUGUUAGCAUGGAAUAAUAAGAUAGGACCUCGGUACUAUUUUGUUGGUUUGCGCACGAGGUAAUGAUUAAUAGGGACAGUUGGGGGUAUUC
rnacentral:rRNA from 1 species